rnacentral:pre_miRNA from 1 species
GUUGGGAAGAGGAAGAAAGAGGGUCUAAUAAUGGUUGGAAUGGGGAACAUAUGGGAAACUUAAACCUUUUGUUUCCAUCUCUGACAAUAGAAGUUUCUUAAUGCAUCCGUUCCUAUUAUUCUUAAUCAUUCCUUCCUCUUCCUUUUGACU